rnacentral:lncRNA from 1 species
GGUGGCAAAGCCUGUGGGGUAUUCACCUACCUGCUGCAUGAAGGCAGCAUGGAGGGACUGUGGUGGAUUAUCUGCAAAGAUGGCCCAAAUUCUCUCAUCCCUGCAGGUACAUACAAGGGAGAGGACAUCUUAUUCUUAUUGGAUCACGCACAGUGCCUGAAGCAUUCUGUUGCAUGUAGAAAUUUUGAGAAGAAUGCAAAGAAGAAGGGAAGAGUGAGCCUCUCUUUUCCCAUCGUUACCCUCCAUUGUCCUCUUGACACCCUGCUUUUGCAGACAGAGAGUUUGAGACCCUCUCCCAGGAGCCAAGGAGAGGGGAACAGCUGGCUUCACAUCAUCUUUCUAUUCAACAAGACACAAAAAGCUGAAGCCAGGAUGAUAGAAAAGCAACAAAGAAGACACGGUCCUUACUCAUUUCCCUUCCCGCUUCAGAGCAAAUAUGGUGCCUGGUGUUCGAAGGGAGAACUUGUGGGCAGAGCAGGAAGCGUGUAUCCAUUUUCUUAUUUCAUCUUAUUUUCCUGCAUGUGUGUUCAUGACUUGGACCUGAUAUGAGAUUUUUUGCCUCAAUAUUACCCCUUGGAUACAGUAUUAUCAUGGUCCCCUGGCUCCAACCACUCUGCAGAUUUCCCAUGCAAAUCCCCCAUCGUGCCCCGAUUCCCAGGACCAAGCCGCUGCCCACCUCAAUCUACUUGACUCACACCUCUUUUGGACCAUUGAGUCCUCUGAUGAGUUAAAAGCAGCCAUAAAUUCUUAGGUGAUGAGAAGGGUAAUGAAGAAGACAGAUCU